rnacentral:snRNA from 1 species
GUGCUCGCUUCAGCAGCACAUAUACUAAAACUAGAGUGAAACAGAGAAGAUUAGGAUGGCCCCUGCAUAAGGAUGACACACAAAUUUGUAAAGCAUUCCAUAUUUUA